rnacentral:lncRNA from 1 species
UUCCUCUCUCUCUAAUUUUCUCCCUAAGAUCUAAUCUCCUCUAAUUUUUGGGCAUGGAGGUGAAGGAAGAAGGAAGGGUGGCAUUGAGAAGAAGUUGUGCGGUAAGAAAAAACUUCCCAUCAUUAUUAGCGCAUGCCCACCUUUCUUUCUUGAUUCUUGUCGCACAAAAAUCUAGUCCAACACCCUUCCUUUUUUGACAUUAUCUUUUUCUUAGUUUGAAUCAAAUUCAAAUAGAAAGAGAAAACAAGAUAAGGAAGGAUGACACA